rfam:Cronobacter sakazakii ATCC BAA-894, complete genome.
AUGUAGCAUGCCGUUUCCGGUCUCCUGUGAGUGAAAAGGGAAUCCAGUGCGAAUCUGGAGCUGACGCGCAGCGGUAAAGACAGGUGGGAUGAACGCGUUCGCAGACACUGCCGGCCCGCCGGUGGGAAGUCCUCAUCCGUAACACACCUCCAAGCCCGAAGACCUGCCGGAGUCACGUCGCAUCU